GAUUUCUGGCUUGAAACAUUUUGCCGGCCACGGUUUCGUGUGUUAGUGCUUGAUGUUCUGGCCAUCCUUCCAAUCGCUAUUGGUUACUCUUCAUUGAGUGGUCAGUAGUAUUGGAUCUUUUACUUUGAAAAAAUUAGAGUGUUUCAAGCAGGCGUUUUGCUAUGAAUACAUUAGCAUGGAAUAAUGAGUUAGGACUUCGGUUCUAUUUUGUUGGUUUCUAGGACUGAAGUAAUGAUUGAUAGGGAUAGUUGGGGGUGCUAGUAUUCAGCGGCCAGAGGUGAAAUUCUUGGAUUCGCUGAAGACUAACUUAUGCGAAAGCAUU
rnacentral:rRNA from 1 species